rnacentral:rRNA from 1 species
AGCAGCCGCGGUAAUUCCAGCUCCAAUAGCGUAUAUUAAAGUUGUUGCAGUUAAAAAGCUCGUAGUUGAAUUUCGGGAUCAGUACGCUGGUCGUGCCUUCGGUAUGAACUGGUGUCACUGGUUCCUCCCUUCUGAAGAACCGUCAUGCCAUUCAGUUGGUGUGGCGGGGAAUCAGGACUGUUACUUUGAAAAAAUUAGAGUGUUUAAAGUAGGCUCGCGCUUGAAUACAUUAGCAUGGAAUAAUGAAAUAGGACGUUUGACCCUAUUUUGUUGGUUUCUAGGAUCGACGUAAUGAUUAAUAGGGAUAGUUGGGGGCAUUAGUAUUCAAUUGUCAGAGGUGAAAUUCUUGGAUUUAUUGAAGACUAACUACUGCGAAAGCAUUUGCCAAGGAUGUUUUCAUUAAUCAAGAACGAAAGUUAGGGGAUCGAAGACGAUCAGAUACCGUCGUAGUCUUAACCAUAAACUAUGCCGACUAGGGAUCGGAUGAUGUUAAUUUUUAAUGACUCAUUCGGCGCCUUAA